rnacentral:miRNA from 1 species
CAGGAUGCCCAGUUGAAUUUGAAUUUCACAUAAGCAACAAAUAAUUUUUAGUAGAAGUAUAUCCCAUACAAUAUUUGGGACAGACUUAUGCGAAAACUUAUUCAUUGUUUAUCUGAAAUUCAAAUGUAACUGAGCAUCCUUUA